AGGGGUAUGGUGUUAACGGCUAGCACGACGGUCUCCAAAACCGUAAGUGAGGGUUCGAAUCCUUCUACCCCUGCCA
rnacentral:tRNA from 1 species